rnacentral:rRNA from 1 species
ACCACUGCUAUUGGAGUUCGCUUAAGCCAUGCGAGUCGAGAGGGUUCGGCCCUCGGCAUACUGCUCAGUAACACGUGGAUAAUCUAACCCGGGGUGGGGGAUAAUCUCGGGAAACUGAGAAUAAUACCCCACAGGCCAGAUAUGAAGGAAUGCUUUCUGGUUAAAAGUUCCGGCGCCCCAGGAUGAGUCUGCGGCCUAUCAGGUAGUAGUGAGUGUAACGGACUCACUAGCCGACGACGGGUACGGGCUGUGAGAGCAGUCGCCCGGAGAUGGACUCUGAGACACGAGUCCAGGCCCUACGGGGCGCAGCAGGCGCGAAAACUUCACAACGCGGGAAACCGCGAUGAGGGAACUCCAAGUGUCUAGGCAUUGCUUAGACUGUUUUCUUGUCUAAAAAACAAGGAGAGUAAGGGCUGGGUAAGACUGGUGCCAGCCGCCGCGGUAAUACCAGCAGCUCAAGUGGUGAUCCUUAUUAUUGGGCCUAAAGCGUCCGUAGCCGGUUUAGUAAAUCCUUGGGUAAAUCGUACCGCUUAACGGUACGACUACUGGGGAGACUGCUAGACUUGGGACCGGGAGAGGUCGGAGGUACUCCAGGGGUAGGGGUGAAAUCCUGUAAUCCUUGGGGGACCACCAGUGGCGAAGGCGUCCGACUAGAACGGAUCCGACGGUGAGGGACGAAGCCGUGGGGCACAAACCGGAUUAGAUACCCGGGUAGUCCACGGUGUAAACGCUGCGAGAUUGGUGUUGGAGGUCCUACGAGGGCGUCCAGUGCCGGAGAGAAGUUGUUAAGCUCGCCGCCUGGGGAGUACGAUCGCAAGAUUGAAACUUAAAGGAAUUGGCGGGGGAGCACCGCAACGGGUGGAGCGUGCGGUUCAAUUGGAUUCAACGCCGGGAGGAUUCGGAUCC